rnacentral:rRNA from 1 species
ACUCCUACGGGAGGCAGCAGUGGGGAAUAUUGCACAAUGGGCGCAAGCCUGAUGCAGCCAUGCCGCGUGUGUGAAGAAGGCCUUCGGGUUGUAAAGCACUUUCUAGUCGUGAGGAAGGUAGUGUAGUUAAUAGCUGCAUUAUUUGUACGUUAGCGACAGAAGAAGCACCGGCUAACUCCGUGCCAGCAGCCGCGGUAAUACGGAGGGUGCGAGCGUUAAUCGGAAUUACGUGGGCGUAAAGCGCAUGCAGGUGGUUUGUUAAGUCAGAUGUGAAAGCCCGGGGCUCAACCUCGGAAUAGCAUUUGAAACUGGCAGACUAGAGUACUGGUAGAGGGGGUAGAAUUUCAGGUGUAGCGGUGAAAUGCGUAGAGAUCUGAAGG